AGGAGACAAGUACUAUGGGGGCAAAAUGAGAAUGACCCAGAUAAUAUAAACUAAAGAAUACCCAAAUGCACAGAUCUCUAAAUAAAUUCUGAAAUUAUAUAGUAUAUAGUAAUAAUAAGUAAGAGAUUUGAUCCAAGAUUUCUACUAAUUAGUGAAAGUUGACAUUUUUAUCAACCCAAAUUAAUCGCCCGCCUUCUUCCAAUACAAGAUAAGAGUAUUUUUUUAUACAUCUAACUACUAAAAAUAUCUGUCUUUUG
rnacentral:misc_RNA from 1 species